CCUACGGGGGGCAGCAGUGAGGAAUAUUGGUCAAUGGACGCAAGUCUGAACCAGCCAUGCCGCGUGAGUGAAGAAGUAUCUCGGUAUGUAAAGCUCUAUCAGCAGGGAAGAAAAUGACGGUACCUGACUAAGAAGCCCCGGCUAACUACGUGCCAGCAGCCGCGGUAAUACGUAGGGGGCAAGCGUUAUCCGGAUUUACUGGGUGUAAAGGGAGCGUAGACGGUGUGGCAAGUCUGAAGUGAAAGCCCGGGGCUCAACCCCGGGACUGCUUUGGAAACUGUCAUGCUGGAGUGCUGGAGAGGUAAGCGGAAUUCCUAGUGUAGCGGUGAAAUGCGUAGAUAUUAGGAGGAACACCAGUGGCGAAGGCGGCUUACUGGACAGUAACUGACGUUGAGGCUCGAAAGCGUGGGGAGCAAACAGGAUUAGAUACCCUGGUAGUC
rnacentral:rRNA from 1 species